CUUGUGGACUGUUAUAUCAAAUGAAAGUAGAUUUUUCGUAGUUUACGAAGUUGAAAUCAGACAGAUUGAAGCAAGAA
rnacentral:ncRNA from 1 species